GGCCAAUCUCUCCCGUCUCGCGCAGCACUGGUUACUGGCCGGGGGUCCCAACGCACACCAGGUAGCGGAGCGUGUCGUCGUGGAUCGCCUCCUGCGGGCCCUUCCUCGCCCGCUACGUCAGGCAGCCGGCAUGCGGAACCCAGCGAACGUGGACGAACUGGUAGAGGCCAUCGAGCUGGCGGAGGCCACCCAACACCGGGAGGUUGGGGAGAGAGCGCCGCCGUUUCCCCGAAGGGUGGUCCAGGAGCGGCGCACGCCGGAGGGCACCCAGCGACCGGUGAGCAGGCCGGCGGUUCCCGGCCCUAGAGAUGAGCCCAUGCCCACCGAGGCACCCCGUUCACCGCCACGACCUUGGCUGGCAGGCUGCGCCGUGCACACGGAGAACGCGCCGCGGGCGGAGGUUAGGGGUAAUUGAACCAUCUCACAGCCCAUGGUCCAGCCCCAUCGUCAUGGUUCCUAAGCCCGACGGCACCCUCCGCUUCUGUAAUGACUUCCGCCGCCUCAACGAAGUCUCCGAGUUUGACUGCUAGCCAAUGCCC
ensembl:lncRNA